rnacentral:rRNA from 1 species
UACGGAGGGAGCAAGCGUUGUCCGGAAUUAUUGGGCGUAAAGAGCUCGUAGGCGGUUUGUUGCGUCGGCUGUGAAAUCCCGAGGCUCAACCUCGGGUCUGCAGUCGAUACGAGCAAACUAGAGUGUUGCAGGGGAGACUGGAAUUCCUGGUGUAGCGGUGAAAUGCGCAGAUAUCAGGAAGAACACCCGUGGCUAAGGCGGUUCUCUAGUACGGUACUGACGCUGAGACGCGAAAGCGUGGGGAGCGAACAGG